UGCAGUCGAUGAUGAAAAUUGUAAUUAGUUGCUGAGCUGGCAAUGAUUAUUCUCUAUUUUAUCACCAUCUUUCGGCUGAGAUUGCA